rnacentral:lncRNA from 1 species
GACCCACAGAUACAGACACACAUUUCCAACAAAGAUUCAAAGACAAUUCAGUGGAAAAGGGAAGUCUUUUUAACAAUGGAGCAGAGACAAUUGGGUAUCCACUGGCACAAAAGUGGAACUGCAUACUUUUCACUGCAUACAGAACCUUAACAGAUCGUAGACCCACAUAUGUGAUCUAACACUAUUAAAUUUCUAGAAGAAAACAAAAUUUUUGUAAACUUGAGUUAGGAAGAGAUUUCGGUACAUUGCUGUCAGAGAACGUUUGCAGAGAGCUCUGUUCACUGCAGGGGGAGCUGCAGGUCUGCACUGCUUUGUUCUCUUGGGGCAGCCACCCAGGCGCCCUCUGUUCUUAGGGGAAGCUGCCACCCUGGCCUUCAGGGCUGACUGGAGGCACAUAUCACUGCUUUGCGUCCUGUCCACCCGUGCCCAGCUUUAUAUACCUGCAGCAGGGGCUGUGAGGGGCGAGGCACCAGCUCAGGGCUGUGUGACCAGCAGGUGGAUUUAGAUCCUCAUCUGUUUGUGCCAGCGCCUGCCCCUGGCUGCUGCCCACCCCCUCGUCUUCUCCUGCUCUUGCUUAAGAGGCCAAAGUCUGACUCCACGGAGGGCACAGCGCAUUCCUGAGUGCGAUGCUCACUUGGCAUCUCUGAGCUGCAUUUUCUGCAGCUCAAAAAGGAGGUGUGAGGGAUGUGUCCUUUCCCGGCAGCUAGCACUUUGGAAGGCACCACACACCUUCCUCUUUGCUUGUAGACGUGGCUCUUUAGAAAAACAAGAUAGCGUUCCCCAGAGCAGGCUCCUUGGAGACAGUGGGAGGGGGUGAUGCCACUUGUUGGACAUGGCCAUUCAUAAGCGCAGGUCAUGGAAGGGGACGGCAGCCAGGAUGGAAAAUUAAAGCCCGCAUCCCUGGGAAGACGAGCCAGGAGGUCUCACAGCUGCUCCACCUGCAGCAGGCACCGGUCUUCGCAGUGUCCACAGAGCCCUGGCCUGGGAGCUAACGACUCCCCUGUAGCCCUGGGGCUUGCUGUGCUGGGGAGCACCACAGACCCCAAACUUCCUGAUUGCUCUCGGUACAGACGAAAUGCGCCCGAGUCUUCCAGCAGACGUGGGUAAUUUAGGCAAGAAGCAUUGUGAACGAGGACAAAGGGGACUUUUGGUUGCAUGUUGUUUUUUUUGUCCAGCGUGGCUGCCUAAGGUGACCACGAGUUCUCGUUCAGCUGGCUGAAUCACUGCAGGCAAGGGGAAGGACAACACCCUUUGCAAACACGUCCUCUUUUGGCCUUGGGAGGCAGCAUGGGAGUGUCUGCUGAGCUGCCAUGGCCUGUUGGGGGAGGGGCUGGUUGUUGAGCCUCAGUCCCCUGCCCUUGCUGUCCAGCCUGCUCGGGGCUCACUGAGGUUCCUGUGACGGCC